rnacentral:rRNA from 1 species
UACGUAGGGGGCGAGCGUUGUCCGGAUUCAUUGGGCGUAAAGAGCUCGUAGGCGGCUUGGCAAGUCGGGUGUGAAAUCUCUGGGCUUAACUCAGAGAGGCCACUCGAUACUGCUAUGGCUAGAGUCCGGUAGGGGACCAUGGAAUUCCUGGUGUAGCGGUGAAAUGCGCAGAUAUCAGGAGGAACACCGGUGGCGAAGGCGGUGGUCUGGGCCGGUACUGACGCUGAGGAGCGAAAGCGUGGGGAGCGAACAGG